rnacentral:rRNA from 1 species
CGAGCGCGGGAAGCAGGUAGAUCCUCUUCGGAGGUGACGCUUGUGGAACGAGCGGCGGACGGGUGAGUAACACGUGGGCAACCUGCCUGUAAGAUUGGGAUAACCCCGGGAAACCGGGGCUAAUACCGGAUAAUACUUUUCGUUGCAUAACGAGAAGUUGAAAGGCGGCUUUUAGCUGUCACUUACAGAUGGGCCCGCGGCGCAUUAGCUAGUUGGUAAGGUAACGGCUUACCAAGGCGACGAUGCGUAGCCGACCUGAGAGGGUGAUCGGCCACACUGGGACUGAGACACGGCCCAGACUCCUACGGGAGGCAGCAGUAGGGAAUCUUCCGCAAUGGACGAAAGUCUGACGGAGCAACGCCGCGUGAGUGAUGAAGGUUUUCGGAUCGUAAAACUCUGUUGUCAGGGAAGAACAAGUGCCGUUCAAAUAGGGCGGCACCUUGACGGUACCUGACCAGAAAGCCCCGGCUAACUACGUGCCAGCAGCCGCGGUAAUACGUAGGGGGCAAGCGUUGUCCGGAAUUAUUGGGCGUAAAGCGCGCGCAGGCGGUCCUUUAAGUCUGAUGUGAAAGCCCACGGCUUAACCGUGGAGGGCCAUUGGAAACUGGAGGACUUGAGUACAGAAGAGGAGAGUGGAAUUCCACGUGUAGCGGUGAAAUGCGUAGAGAUGUGGAGGAACACCAGUGGCGAAGGCGACUCUCUGGUCUGUAACUGACGCUGAGGUGCGAAAGCGUGGGGAGCGAACAGGAUUAGAUACCCUGGUAGUCCACGCCGUAAACGAUGAGUGCUAGUGUUAGGGGGUUUCCGCCCCUUAGUGCUGAAGUUAACGCAUUAAGCACUCCGCCUGGGGAGUACGGCCGCAAGGCUGAAACUCAAAAGAAUUGACGGGGCCCGCACAAGCGGUGGAGCAUGUGGUUUAAUUCGAAGCAACGCGAAGAACCUUACCAGUCUUGACAUCCUCUGCCAUCCUAGAGAUAGGAUGUUCCCUUCGGGACAGAGUGACAGUGUGCAUGGUGUCGUCAGCUCGUGUCGUGAGAUGUGGGUAAGUCC